rnacentral:rRNA from 1 species
CAGGCCUAACACAUGCAAGUCGAGCGGAUGAUGGGAGCUCGCUCCUGGAUUCAGCGGCGGACGGGUGAGUAAUGCCUAGGAAUCUGCCUGGUAGUGGGGGACAACGUUUCGAAAGGAACGCUAAUACCGCAUACGUCCUACGGGAGAAAGCAGGGGACCUUCGGGCCUUGCGCUAUCAGAUGAGCCUAGGUUGGAUUAGCUUGUUGGUGAGGUAAUGGCUCACCAAGGCGACGAUCCGUAACUGGUCUGAGAGGAUGAUCAGUCACACUGGAACUGAGACACGGUCCAGACUCCUACGGGAGGCAGCAGUGGGGAAUAUUGGACAAUGGGCGAAAGCCUGAUCCAGCCAUGCCGCGUGUGUGAAGAAGGUCUUCGGAUUGUAAAGCACUUUAAGUUGGGAGGAAGGGUUGUAGAUUAAUACUCUGCAAUUUUGACGUUACCGACAGAAUAAGCACCGGCUAACUCUGUGCCAGCAGCCGCGGUAAUACAGAGGGUGCAAGCGUUAAUCGGAAUUACUGGGCGUAAAGCGCGCGUAGGUGGUUUGUUAAGUUGGAUGUGAAAGCCCCGGGCUCAACCUGGGAACUGCAUCCAAAACUGGCAAGCUAGAGUACGGUAGAGGGUGGUGGAAUUUCCUGUGUAGCGGUGAAAU